CACGCCGUAAACGAUGGGUGCUAGGUGUCAGGGGCUUUGACCCCUCUGGUGCCGUAGCUAACGCAUUAAGCACCCCGCCUGGGGAGUACGGCCGCAAGGCUAAAACUCAAAGGAAUUGACGGGGGCCCGCACAAGCGGUGGAGCAUGUGGUUCAAUUCGACGCAACGCGCAGAACCUUACCUGGGCUAGAAAAUGCAGGAACCUGGUUGAAAAGUCGGGGUGCUCUUCGGAGAACCUGUAGUUAGGUGC
rnacentral:rRNA from 1 species